UAAAACUCAUUAGUGAUUAAUUUUUAAAAUAUUUAUUGCUUUCAUAUGCAAAAAUUCAAUGUUGUAUAUACAUUUAUUGUACUGACUGUACCAAAUAUGCUAAUUCUGACUUUCUUUUUCUUCAAAAAACAGGUAUUCCUGAAAUACCCAUGCACUCCUUUAUCCAUCAUGUUAGAACAGGAAAAGUCUAUUCUUAACAGAAGUGGAAUUUUACACCUGCCCAACUUAACAUCAGUUCAAAUGGUAUUAGUACUGAACGGAAGAAAUCCAAACCUUUGUGAUUUGACUUUGAUUAGUGCUGCCUCACACUGCAAGCAGUACUUCAGGAAGAAAGCUGAAUUUAUUGCUGUUGUUUCUAACUUCCCAUCGGCAACGCAUGGCAGCACCUAGCCUAAAGCUGACCAUUAUAUUUCAUUUAAGAAAAAGAUAAUGAUGUGAUCCCAUCAAGACAGAGUAAGGAAGCAGAGCAUGGUAGUGGCUGGGGAACAGGAGGUGACCAUCAAGUCCUCUGACUUCUCCUCAGUGCCCCUUGCUUUCGUGCAAAUAACCGCUGCUUCCCUGCAGAUAACUGCUGGCAAUGAUUCAGUCACUAACUUCAGCACUAGUGGAAAUUUACUUGACGUGCUAGAUGUGAAUUAUUUAUUCAGUUAAAUAUCCCAUAAUCUUCUGGCUGAAAAAGAGAGGGACUUGUCCUGAUCUGACACGAUUCGUCUGCAGAGGUCGUCUGUGUUCUGAGUGCCAGAAAUCCUGCUGAGGGCUCGUGUGAACUCAGCCAGCUCAGAGUUAUGAACUAAUACUGAUACCAAAUAUACUUUUAAAUCUAUCAGCUAGCAAGAAAGUAAAAUUGCUUGUAAUUUAAAAGGAUGGCACUCCCUUUGCAAUUGUUUGCUCAACUAUUUCUUGACUGGUCAGCUCGAUGGACGAACGCGCAAGGAGAUGGAAAACUUCAUCUUUCAACGUGAAAGAAUACCAAUGCACUGUGAAGAACUGUUUCUAGCUCACUUCACCGUGUUACUUCACAUUGCUGCUAAUUUCCUAAAACUGGCUACCAGCUAAACUGAUGAGGCGUCAGAGCGAUUGUACCUCCCUGCAAGUUGCAUUAUAGGAGCUGCACUGAAAACAGUUUGAAUACCUUCCUUAUGAAAAGUCAAACAGCACCAUAGAUGCCCACAAAUGCUGUAAGGACCGUGGAUUUAUAUCCUAUCAGAAAAUGGAAUUAAAGAAUGUCUGAGGAGGGCUGCAAUACCCUGUGCUGAAUGGAGUGAUCAGCAACAAAAAAGCCCAGAGGUCUGACGAAUACUUUACAUCAUGUACCAAAGCCAGAGAACUACAGCAUAACUCUUCUGUGUUCUGGUAAUGGAGUCCUGAGGACUUGGCUGGUGGUCUCUGCAAUUCUGUAACUGAGCUUUGGGCCGCACUGCAUCGCUCACUGGACCAAUCCACCACUUCACGCGUAUCUAUGAUCUGGGGUUACUGGCAGUGGCCACAUCCUGAUUGCUGGUAUUUUGAUGGCUGCACCUCCAAACAGAGAAAGUGUGGAGGUUACCUGUGUCAGGGCCACAAGGCUGGAAGGAGAUACUUCCCCCUGUGAAGGAAUUGGCAGAGAAUGGGCAUAGAAUUGGCUCCACACCACUGCUUACUAAUGAUCAGAAUAGCUGGCCAGGCAUGAAGAGGAAUGUCAGCUGCAAUAAUUUAUUUCCUUCCCUGGAGCGGAUGAGGAGCAGCGCGGGCCUACAAGGAGCCUCGAUGCCUCCCUAGGCUUCCUGGGGAGCAGGGCAGUGCUCUGAGCACCCCUUGCUUGCGGCUGUGCCUAAAGGCACAGGCUAGCGCUAGCUGAAUUACAGACUCUUUGAGUUGCUGCUUUAUAUGCAACAUUGACAUUCCUUUCAUUGCACAUACAGUGUUCAUCAGGCAUUUGAAUCUGGAUAAUGAGAAGACUGCAUAAUCCAAUUGCAGCUCUUCAUUUGAAAGUUUUAUUUUCCUCUCGUGGCUGAUGCCGUGGCUCCAGUUAUUCCCAGAGAUUAUCUGAUCAGCACUACAGCUCUGCCUUUCAUGGGAGGAACUUAGCAGGAAUGGGUAGCUCCAGGAAAUCAGCUUUUUUGGCUUUUUUUUUUUUUUUUCAAGUUCAUCCUCCAAAAUAAACAACUAAAUGUGUGUCAUUUGAGACUGGGAGGAAACUGGACAUGUCACUGGGCAUGUCAACCUGACUAACCACUUCACUUGAAACUAAAAUGAUAAUGAAAUUAAAAAAAUAAAAAUAAAAAUAGUAAGUUGGGGGUAGUGGCAGCUAAAUUAAGUUCCUGCUAACUCCUAAGGACUGAUUUUAAUUUACUGGAAACUUAUCCUGACACUGGCAUCUGUUGAUUGUUAAGUUUCUCCUGACAAAGUUAAGACACCAGCUUUCAUUUCAACAUAACUUUAUCCUUUUGGUGUAAUUAAAAAAGGUGAAUUAUUCUAUCUUGCUGUUGCACAGUCUUAUUGCUCCUCACUGAGGAUAUCCAUAUGGUAAGGGACCUUUUGGUGUAAAGUAUCAAAUCUAGCCAAGUGCUAAGCUCCCACUGAGGCAGGUAUUUCUUGGCUCCUGUAAAUGGCUUGUAGAAUAUAUAGAAUAAAUCAGGUGUCAUCUAGGGGAAGCUCACAUCCUUCCA